CCUACGGGUGGCAGCAGUGGGGAAUAUUGGACAAUGGGCGAAAGCCUGAUCCAGCCAUGCCGCGUGUGUGAAGAAGGCCUUCGGGUUGUAAAGCACUUUCAGUGGGGAAGAAAGCCUUGGGGCUAAUACCCUCGAGGAAGGACAUCACCCACAGAAGAAGCACCGGCUAACUCCGUGCCAGCAGCCGCGGUAAUACGGAGGGUGCGAGCGUUAAUCGGAAUUACUGGGCGUAAAGCGCGCGUAGGCGGUCUGAUAAGCCGGUUGUGAAAGCCCCGGGCUCAACCUGGGAACGGCAUCCGGAACUGUCAGGCUAGAGUGCGGGAGAGGAAGGUAGAAUUCCCGGUGUAGCGGUGAAAUGCGUAGAGAUCGGGAGGAAUAACAGUGGCGAAGGCGGCCUUCUGGACUGACACUGACGCUGAGGUGCGAAAGCGUGGGUAGCAAACAGGAUUAGAUACCCGAGUAGUC
rnacentral:rRNA from 1 species